GAUGAAGAACGUAGCGAAAUGCGAUAAGUAAUGUGAAUUGCAGAAUUCAGUGAAUCAUCGAAUCUUUGAACGCACAUUGCGCCCGCCAGUAUUCUGGCGGGCAUGCCUGUUCGAGCGUCAUUUCAACCAUCAAGCCCCAGGCUUGUGUUGGGGACCUGCGGCUGCCGCAGGCCCUGAAAACCAGUGGCGGGCUCGCUGUCACACCGGGCGUAGUAGAUUUUAUCUCGCUCAGGGCGUGCUGCGGGUCCCGGCCGUUAAAAGCCUUUUUUUACCCAAGGUUGACCUCGGAUCAGGUAGGAAGACCCGCUGAACUUAAGCAUAUCAAUAAGCGAGG
rnacentral:misc_RNA from 1 species